AUCCCCCUUUCUUAAAAACAGUGAAGAUGUUUCCUUUUCACCAAUCACUGGGGAUUUCACCCGACAGCCAUGACAAACAGCACAGGUUUGCUUGCACUAGGGAUAGUUUAAGAAGAAAAGCUUUUAACAUCAAGUUAGUUCACUAGAACCAAAAUGUAACCUAAUGUAGAUGAGUUACGUCUCAAUUACGUGCAUCAGCUUGUACACAAUUCCUUCCUUUUCCUUCACUUUACACAACUGAGUGAGCAGUGAUGAUUGAAAAGGUUUCAUGCUAUUACUACACAGGUGCCAAAUGAUGUUCCAAAUUUUGUUAAGUAUUUCUUUUGCUCAUUCAUUUUUAGCCUGAAAAGGCUCACGGAGCUUACAUCUGAGUGCUAUCAGAAGGUCUGUGUCAUUGCUACCUGUCUUCAGAACUGCAAAGAUUUAUACUGCUGUCAAGUUAAGAGUAGAAAGUAAUUUGGCUACCAGCCUUGGAAUUUACUACAGUGGAAUCUUGUAGCCACUAAGAAUUCAUCACUUGUUCAGCAGAAAUUCAACAGAAAGUCAAAUGGAGCAAAAUCAUAUUUGACAGACGUAUCCUUCUUCACAUACAGCUCCUGUAACUGAAAUAACUUUCAGCACACUGGUGGGGAAGCCAAACCCAAUAACUUUGAUUGUAGGAACGCACACCCUAAUGCCACCCAAGCCAUUAUGGCCAUGCCUCGUCACCUUGUCAUCCAUCACUGACUAACCUGGGAUAGCAGUGUAGGCUCUGGGCUGUAUUCUCCUACCUGAAGGUGGACAUCAGCAUGUGGUCAGCAGCAUCAGCCAUGGCUCAGAGCUCCUCCUGCAGCUGCUCAAUCUCAUCUGUGAGCCAGUAGAAGCAGGCAAGUUCUUGCCACCUCCGUCCCUCUGGGCCUGAUAGUGGGACCCAGGUAUUUGGCCUUUCCCAGACCUAUGGUGCCUCAUCAUCUUCUGUCUGCCCCACAGUGACCACAUCUGCUCUCGGUGCCUGCGGAUGCAGCUCCUGCCUGCAGCUCCCUUAUGAAGUGUGCUGUCCGGACGGUGCGGAAUAAAGUAUGCAUGAAGUAGUGCUGGUUGGUGAUGCACAGCAUAACGAAGAUAACAUAGGAGCAGCCAGCCUCUGUGCUCUGAUGGUAGACAUUGAAGCAGUUGUUGAACAUGAAGAUUUGGAAGAGGACCAUCGUGGUGGUGAAGUGCCCAAAGAGCUGCAGGUGGGACUCACAGGAGAGGCAGCGCGUGACUACGGAGAAGAUGGCAAGGGUGACAGAUUGCAGAUGCAGAGUGGUCAUGAGAUGCUGAUAGGAGUUGGCUGAGGCCUUGGCUGCAACAGAAUGGCUCUUGGCAGUUUUUUUUCCUGCUGGCUGAGCAUGUUCUCUGUGAAAACCGGGGGCCCUAUCUCCAGUUUGAAUGUGCUCCAGCUUCUGCUCCCAGAAGCUUCUGCUAGUUCUUGUCAUGCCUUUCUUUGACUAAUGAAUCAUUUCAUAGCUAGGUAACUGAGUACCUGCUGAGACUGUCUGUUUCCAGGAGCAUAGCUUGCAUUUUCUUUCUUUUUUUUUUUUUUUGGUUGACUGCUAGCAAAAAAAAAAACCAACCCAGUGGUUUGAGCUGUUACUUUCCACUGGUGGGAAACCAAACCCAAACCACCCAUUCUGUGUGCUGCACUAAAAAAAUCCCCAGAGGUCUCUUCUUUCUCUCAGGACUCCCCCAGAUACUGAGAGGAGCCAUGAGCAGGCUUUGCUGGAGGGGUUAUUGCAUGCAUCCUCUUCUGCUUCAUUGCAGAUUUCUCCCUGUCACAUGGCAGUGUGCCCUGCUGAUGACCUGGUGUGGUACAUAGCACAAAUGCUGGCAGAGAUGAUGCUUGAGUGGUUUGCAGCCUACCCACAAGGCUGUUAAUUGCCCCUGCCCCUUCUAGCUCAAUCCACUCUGUCGUGUUGUGCAGAUGAGCAAAGUGGUCCUGGGAGGGUUGGGAUAAAGCACAUGAAAGUCUCCAGUUCUUUUCUGACUUGUUUGAUUACAAAAACAAAAAAGCAUUUCAAUUCAACUUGGAAUAAAACAUCCUCUGAUGUGCUCA